ACCGGAUAGGACGAAAGUUUAAAGAUGCUCCUGGCAUCACUGAUGGAUGAGCCUGCGGCGCAUUAGCUAGUUGGUGGGGUAAAGGCCUACCAAGGCGACGAUGCGUAGCCGACCUGAGAGGGUGAACGGCCACACUGGGACUGAGACACGGCCCAGACUCCUACGGGAGGCAGCAGUAGGGAAUCUUCGGCAAUGGGCGAAAGCCUGACCGAGCAACGCCGCGUGAAUGAAGAAGGCCUUCGGGUUGUAAAAUUCUGUUAUAAGGGAAGAAAGGUGAUAGGAGGAAACGACUAUCAAUUGACGGUACCUUAUGAGAAAGCCACGGCUAACUACGUGCCAGCAGCCGCGGUAAUACGUAGGUGGCAAGCGUUAUCCGGAAUUAUUGGGCGUAAAGAGCGCGCGGGUGGUUAAUUAAGUCUGAUGUGAAAGCCCACGGCUUAACCGCGGAGGGUCAUUGGAAACUGGUUGACUUGAGUGCAGAAGAGGGAAGUGGAAUUCCAUGUGUAGCGGUGAAAUGCGUAGAGAUAUGGAGGAACACCAGUGGCGAAGGCGGCUUCCUGGUCUGCAACUGACACUGAGGCGCGAAAGCGUGGGGCCCUAAAAGGAUUAGAUACCGUGGUAGUCCAACGCCUUAACGAAUGAAGUGCUAAGUGUUGGGAGUCGAACCUCAGUGCUGAAGUUAAUGCAUUAAGCACUCCGCCUGGGGAGUUCGGUGGCAAGACUGAAACUUCAAAGGAAUUGAUGGGGACCCGCACAAGCGGUGGAGCAUGUGGUUUUAAUUCGAAGCAACGCGAAGAACCUUACCAGGUCUUGACAUACCAUUGACGCCUCUAGAGAUAGAGGGUUUCCUUCGGGGACAAUGGAUACAGGUGGUGCAUGGUUGUCGUCAGCUCGUGUCGUGAGAUGUUGGGUUAAGUCCCGCAACGAGCGCAACCCCUGUCGUUAGUUGCCAGCAGUAAGAUGGGGACUCUAACGAGACUGCCAGUGACAAACUGGAGGAAGGUGGGGAUGACGUCAAAUCAUCAUGCCCCUUAUGACCUGGGCUACACACGUGCUACAAUGGUUGGUACAAAGAGAAGCGAAGCGGUGACGUGGAGCAAACCUCAUAAAGCCAAUCUCAGUUCGGAUUGUAGGCUGCAACUCGCCUACAUGAAGUUGGAAUCGCUAGUAAUCGCGAAUCAGAAUGUCGCGGUGAAUACGUUCCCGGGUCUUGUACACACCGCCCGUCACACCACGAGAGUUUACAACACCCGAAGUCAGUGGCCUAAAAGCAAGGAGGGAGCUGCCUUAGGUGGGG
rnacentral:rRNA from 1 species